rnacentral:lncRNA from 1 species
AUUAAUUAACUCAUCAUUUAUGUAUACCAGGGAUUCCCUUGCAUGAGUACAAGGUCCCUUUUAGCUUGAUCUAGGCUUAAUACUCUAUUAUAGCAUGAAAUCCCUUAUUUUCCACCCGGAUGAACAGUAAUCCGGACCGACGGCCAGUUACUUCAUCCCAGGUUUGAUCCACUUUCCAGACUCCAAAUUUGAUGAAAUUUUUACCUAACAUUCUACACUCAUAGGGAAUUCCAAAGAGGUAACAUGCAUUGCUAUCGGAGGUUGUUUGACCCCCUAAAUAAUUCGCCAAAGUUGGAAUUUCGACACAGUUUUUCCGUAGUGCCGGAAAAAUUUGUCAAAAUCCGAUUCUUCCUCUUUUAACCGCCUCUACAACCCUUAUCCGACCCCUCUAGACUAUAUCCACCCUUUGUAUAGCCUAAUGUCAUCAAAAGACUAGAUAGGGAUGGAUAUUUACCUUUUUCUUUUUGGAAAUCGAGGUCCUUGCGUAGAGGAGAAGGAAAUCUACAUUUUUCCCUUCAGCUGGAAGUGCACC